ACACGUAGGGGGCGAGCGUUGUUCGGAAUCAUUGGGCGUAAAGGGCGCGCAGGCGGCGAGGCAAGUCCGGUGUGAGAGUGCUCGGCUCAACCGAGUGAUGCGCUGGAAACUGCCCUGCUUGAGUACAGGAGGGGACGUCGGAAUUCCAGGUGUAGGGGUGAAAUCUGUAGAUAUCUGGAAGAACACCGGUGGCGAAGGCGGAAGGCUGGCCAGGUACUGACGCUGAGGCGCGAAGGUGCGGGGAGCGAACAGGUUUAGAUACCCUGGUAGUCCGCACAGUAAACGAUGUGCACCAGGUGGCGGGGGGUAGCCCUCGGUACCGAAGCCAACGCAUUAAGUGCACCGCCUGGGGAGUAUGCUCGCAAGGGUGAAACUCAAAGGAAUUGACGGGG
rnacentral:rRNA from 1 species